rnacentral:snoRNA from 1 species
AUACCAUGAUUUGGACACUUUCUCAUAAGCUCCUUAAAGCUGUUCCAUGCCUCAUGAUAGCUCUCCACAUCUCUCUAUUGGAAGGUUUGGAUUUUCAAUUUGAUUUU